GAUGGUGAAAUUUUGUUGAUAAGGUGAAAUUUUUAAUUUAAGGGAAAUUCUUAAGAAAUCUGUUGAGACUAAAAAAUUUAGGUAAAAAACCAGGAUUAGAUACCCUGUUAUUCUAAAUAAUAGUGUAAAUAGGGUAGUAAAAGUUGUUCUUCAAACCCAAAGAUUUUGGCGGCAUCUUAUCCUAAUAGAGGAGCUUGUCCUAUAAUUGAUAGUCCCCAUUUUAUCUUACCCUUUUUUGUUAAGCUUGUAUACCGCCGUUGUCAGACUACUUUAAAAGAACGUUUUCAGGAAAAAUAUUUUUCUUACUUCAGGUCAAGGUGCAGUUUAUAAAAGGGCAGUGAUGAGCUACAAUUUUUAAUAGAAAUACGGAUUUUAGGCUUAAAACUCAGGUGAAGGUGGAUUUAUUAGUAAAUUUACUUAAGUACAGUAAGUUGAAUAAGGCAAUAGGAUGUGCACAUAUCGCCCGUCACUCUCUUCUCAAGAGGAGAUAA
rnacentral:rRNA from 1 species